GAUGAAGAACGUAGCGAAAUGCGAUAAGUAAUGUGAAUUGCAGAAUUCAGUGAAUCAUCGAAUCUUUGAACGCACAUUGCGCCUGCCAGUAUUCUGGCGGGCAUGCCUGUCUGAGCGUCAUUUCAACCCUCAAGCAACUUCUGCUUGGUGUUGGGGAUCGGCCGUUAAACGCCGCCCCCGAAAUCUAUUGGCGAUCUCGCUGUAGCUUCCUAUGCGUAGUAGUAACAUCUCGCAUCUGGAGAGCGGCGCGGUCAUGCCGUAAAACACCCAACUUCUCAGGUUGACCUCAGAUCAGGUAGGAAUACCCGCUGAACUUAAGCAUAUCAAUAAGCGGAGGA
rnacentral:misc_RNA from 1 species